rnacentral:ribozyme from 11 species
GAAACCUGAGGAAAGUCCCCCCCCCCUCCAACACGCA